AGUGAACGCUGGCGGCAGGCCUAAUACAUGCAAGUCGAACGGCAGCACAGCAGAGCUUGCUCUGUGGGUGGCGAGUGGCGGACGGGUGAGGAAUACGUGGGAAUCUGCCCAGUCGUGGGGGAUAACGUAGGGAAACUUACGCUAAUACCGCAUGCGCCCUUCGGGGGAAAGCCGGGGGACCUUCGGGCCUGGCGCGAUUGGAUGAGCCCACGUCGGAUUAGCUAGUUGGCGGGGUAAAGGCCCACCAAGGCGACGAUCCGUAGCUGGUCUGAGAGGAUGAUCAGCCACACUGGAACUGAGACACGGUCCAGACUCCUACGGGAGGCAGCAGUAGGGAAUAUUGGACAAUGGGCGCAAGCCUGAUCCAGCCAUGCCGCGUGAGUGAAGAAGGCCCUCGGGUUGUAAAGCUCUUUUGUCCGGAAAGAAAGCGCCGGGUUAAUACCCUGGUGUCCUGACGGUACCGGAAGAUAAGCACCGG
rnacentral:rRNA from 1 species